GCCGGCCUGCGGUGAGGGUGCCGCCGUCAGUGGCGGUGACGAAGACGCUCGUCGGGUCCGACACCCCGGCCGGCA
rnacentral:tRNA from 1 species